rnacentral:rRNA from 1 species
CACAUGCAGUCGAGGGGCAGCGGGGUGUAGCAAUACACUGCCGGCGACCGGCGCACGGGUGCGUAACGCGUAUGCAACCUACCCAUAACAGGGGCAUAACACUGAGAAAUUGGUACUAAUUCCCCAUAACAUUCGAAGAGGCAUCUCUUUGGGUUGAAAACUCCGGUGGUUAUGGAUGGGCAUGCGUUGUAUUAGCUAGUUGGUGAGGUAACGACUCACCAAGGCGACGAUACAUAGGGGGACUGAGAGGUUAACCCCCCACAUUGGUACUGAGACACGGACCAAACUCCUACGGGAGGCAGCAGUGAGGAAUAUUGGUCAAUGGACGCAAGUCUGAACCAGCCAUGCCGCGUGCAGGAUGACGGCUCUAUGAGUUGUAAACUGCUUUUGUACGAGGGUAAACUCACCUACGUGUAGGUGACUGAAAGUAUCGUACGAAUAAGGAUCGGCUAACUCCGUGCCAGCAGCCGCGGUAAUACGGAGGAUUCAAGCGUUAUCCGGAUUUAUUGGGUUUAAAGGGUGCGUAGGCGGUUAGAUAAGUUAGAGGUGAAAUCCCGGGGCUUAACUCCGAAAUUGCCUCUAAUACUGUUUGACUAGAGAGUAGUUGCGGUAGGCGGAAUGUAUGGUGUAGCGGUGAAAUGCUUAGAGAUCAUACAGAACACCGAUUGCGAAGGCAGCUUACCAAACUAUAUCUGACGUUGAGGCACGAAAGCGUGGGGAGCAAACAGGAUUAGAUACCCUGGUAGUCCACGCAGUAAACGAUGAUAACUCGCUGUCGGCGAUACACAGUCGGUGGCUAAGCGAAAGCGAUAAGUUAUCCACCUGGGGAGUACGUUCGCAAGAAUGAAACUCAAAGGAAUUGACGGGGGCCCGCACAAGCGGAGGAACAUGUGGUUUAAUUCGAUGAUACGCGAGGAACCUUACCCGGGCUUGAAAGUUAGCGACGGAUCUGGAAACAGGUCU